AUGGUAUCACAGGUGCUGCAUGGCUGUCGUCAGCUCGUGCCGUGAGGUGUUCCCUUAAGUGGGGAAACGAGCGCAACCCCCAUCCAAUGUUAGAUUAUUCAUUGGGAACAGGUCCGAUUUACAUCGGACAGGAAGGAGGGGAAGACGUCAAGUCAGCACGGCCCUUAUACCCUGGGCUACACACACACUACAAUGGCGAAGAACAAUGGGCUGCAAGCCGGCAACGGCAAGCUAAUCCCUGAAAUUUCGCCUCAGUUCAGAUUGGGGGCUGAAACUCGUCCCCAUGAAGUCGGAAUUGGUAGUAAUCGCGGAUCAGAAUGCCGCGGUGAAUACGUUCUCGGGUCUUGUACACACCGCCCGUCAAGGCAGCAAAGUCGGUAGUAGCCGAAGUGCCACUUUUGUGGUACGAGGCUAAGACUGGUGAUGAAGCUUAAGUCGUAACAAGGUAUCCCUAGCCGAAGCUGGGGAUGGAUCACCUCCUUU
rnacentral:ncRNA from 1 species